CCUAACCUGCGCAAGGUUUCUGGGGCAUUUAGAAUAUGUAUAUCGAUCAGCACCUUCGUUGUGUAAAAUUCCUGACUUAUUAUGUCAUUUAUAUAUAUCAGCUAACUAUCAAGAACAGUGAACUGCAUCAUUUCAAUGUAAUCACUUUUUAGUUUAUGUCAAUAUUAAUAGACAGCACAAGCACCCCACACACUUGGUUAGAUCUACAAUAAAAUGCAAUUGUGAGAUUUAAUUUAAAAACAGUUAAUUUGUUCGCAGGGCUACACAAACUUAGACGGUAAUUGCAUUCAUCAAUUAAACAGUUAAGGGCAUGUC
rnacentral:lncRNA from 1 species